rnacentral:rRNA from 1 species
AUUGAACGCUGGCGGCAUGCCUUACACAUGCAAGUCGAACGGCAGCACGGGUGCUUGCACCUGGUGUCGAGUGGCGAACGGGUGAGUAAUACAUCGGAACAUGUCCUGUAGUGGGGGAUAGCCCGGCGAAAGCCGGAUUAAUACCGCAUACGAUCUACGGAUGAAAGCGGGGGCCCUUCGGGCCUCGCGCUAUAGGGUUGGCCGAUGGCUGAUUAGCUAGUUGGUGGGGUAAAGGCCUACCAAGGCGACGAUCAGCAGCUGGUCUGAGAGGACGACCAGCCACACUGGGACUGAGACACGGCCCAGACUCCUACGGGAGGCAGCAGUGGGGAAUUUUGGACAAUGGGCGAAAGCCUGAUCCAGCAAUGCCGCGUGUGUGAAGAAGGCCUUCGGGUUGUAAAGCACUUUUGUCCGGAAAGAAAUCCUUGGCCCUAAUACGGUCGGGGGAUGACGGUACCGGAAGAAUAAGCACCGGCUAACUACGUG